rnacentral:rRNA from 1 species
UACGUAGGGUGCGAGCGUUGCCCGGAUUUAUUGGUCGUAAAGGGCGCGUAGGCGGCCACGCACGUCCGUUGUGAAAUCGCCCGGCUCAACUGGGCGGGGUCGGCGGAUACGGCGUGGCUGGAGCAAGCUAGGGGGCAAUGGAAUUCCCGGUGUAGUGGUGGAAUGCGUAGAUAUCGGGAGGAACACCAGUGGCGAAGGCGGUUGCCUGGAGCUUUGCUGACGCUGAGGCGCGAAAGCGUGGGGAGCGAUCCGG